rnacentral:tRNA from 1 species
GGGUCGUUAGCUCAGCUGGUAGAGCAGCGGACUUUUAAUCCGUUGGUCCAGGGUUCGAAUCCCUGACGGCCUACCA